rnacentral:rRNA from 1 species
GACGAACGCUGGCGGCGUGCUUAACACAUGCAAGUCGAACGGAAAGGCCCUGCUUUUGUGGGGUGCUCGAGUGGCGAACGGGUGAGUAACACGUGAGUAACCUGCCCUUUACUUUGGGAUAACUUCAGGAAACUGUGGCUAAUACCGGAUAGGAGCUCCUGCUGCAUGGUGGGGUUUGGAAAGUUUCGGCGGUUGGGGAUGGACUCGCGGCUUAUCAGCUUGUUGGUGGGGUAGUGGCUUACCAAGGCUUUGACGGGUAGCCGGCCUGAGAGGGUGACCGGCCACAUGGGGACUGAGAUACGGCCCAGACUCCUACGGGAGGCAGCAGGGGGGAAUAUUGCACAAUGGGCGGAAGCCUGAUGCAGAAACGCCGCGUGCGGGAUGAAGGCCUUCGGGUUGUAAACAGCUUUCGCCUGUGACGAAGCGUGAGUGACGGUAAUGGGUAAAGAAGCACCGGCUAACUACGUG